GUUUUGGUAGCACAGUGGUUAAGAGCUUGGCUGCUAACCAAGAGGUUGGUAGUUCGAAUCCACCUUGGAAAC
rnacentral:tRNA from 1 species